rnacentral:rRNA from 1 species
UCAGGAUGAACGCUGGCGGCGUGCCUAAUACAUGCAAGUCGAACGAGGUAGCAAUACCGAGUGGCGAACGGGUGAGUAACACGUAGGUAACCUGCCCUUAAGCUUGGGAUACCCAGAGGAAACUUUGGCUAAUACCGGAUAACAACAGAGAAGGCAUCUUCUUUGCUUGAAAGGCCCUUCAAGGGUCACUUAAGGAUGGACCUGCGGCGCAUUAGCUAGUUGGUGAGAUAACAGCCCACCAAGGCGAGGAUGCGUAGCCGAACUGAGAGGUUGAUCGGCCACAUUGGAACUGAGACACGGUCCAAACUCCUACGGGAGGCAGCAGUAAGGAGUUUUCGGCAAUGGGGGAAACCCUGACCGAGCAACGCCGCGUGAGCGAUGACGGCCCUAUUGGGUUGUAAAGCUCUGUUGUAAGCCAUGAAUGGUAGCUUGAGGAAAUGCAAGCUAUUUGACGACAGCUUACCAGAAAGCCACGGCUAACUACGUGCCAGCCGCCGC